rnacentral:rRNA from 1 species
UACGGAGGGGGCUAGCGUUGUUCGGAAUUACUGGGCGUAAAGCGCACGUAGGCGGCUUUGCAAGUUAGAGGUGAAAGCCCGGGGCUCAACUCCGGAAUUGCCUUUAAAACUGCAUCGCUAGAAUUGUGGAGAGGUAAGUGGAAUUCCGAGUGUAGAGGUGAAAUUCGUAGAUAUUCGGAAGAACACCAGUGCGAAGGCGACUUACUGGACACAUAUUGACGCUGAGGUGCGAAAGCGUGGGGAGCAAACAGG